rnacentral:rRNA from 1 species
CGGGACGGGUGAGUAAUGUCUGGGAAACGUGCCUGAUGGAGGGGGAUAACUACUGGAAACGGUAGCUAAUACCGCAUAACGUCGCAAGACCAAAGAGGGGGACCUUAGGGCCUCUUGCCAUCGGAUGUGCCCAGAUGGGAUUAGCUAGUAGGUGGGGUAACGGCUCACCUAGGCGACGAUCCCUAGCUGGUCUGAGAGGAUGACCAGCCACACUGGAACUGAGACACGGUCCAG